AGGAAGUCUUUUCACAGGUUCACUUGAUAGGGAUUCUUUAAGGCGAGGGGCUGGAAUUAUCUCCUUUUUGAGCGAGUUCUCACCAACAUCUGUAGCUUUAUUGAGGGCCUGGUAAGGGUACUGAAAUUGAGGCUAAACCAUGUAAGCAUACUUUUCAGUGUUUAUGAUAUUUGUUUACAUCUGGUGUUCACUCUAAGCAAUAGAAAUAAAUAGGUCAGCUUUGCUUUUGGUCUUUGAAGACUGGCCCCCUCCUUCCUUUUUUAAGUUUCACAAUUUAUUUGGUUUACAGCAUUGUUGGAAACUGUUACUACAUUUUUACUGGAAAUACUAUUAUUCAUUUUAAUUUUGUCGUCUGGAAGGAGCUGCCUCUGAAAUACUCUUCUUCUGCUUACAUGAAGAUCUCUAAAUGCUAUCCAGCAGGAGGUGCUACAGCAAGAUAAAGGAAAUUUUUGAAUUUUGAGGGUCUUGCUACUUAUUACAGCUCUACUUAGCUUCAG
rnacentral:lncRNA from 1 species